rnacentral:rRNA from 1 species
UGGCCUCAAAUCAGGUAGGAUUACCCGCUGAACUUAAGCAUAUCAAUAAGCGGAGGA